AACGGCGUGGCGCAGUGGUGAGCGUGCCUGGCUCAUAACCAGGAGGUCGUCUGUUCGAUCCAGACCGCCGUUA
rnacentral:tRNA from 1 species